GACGAACGCUGGCGGCGUGCCUAAUACAUGCAAGUAGAACGCUGAAGAGAGGAGCUUGCUCUUCUUGGAUGAGUUGCGAACGGGUGAGUAACGCGUAGGUAACCUGCCUUGUAGCGGGGGAUAACUAUUGGAAACGAUAGCUAAUACCGCAUAACAAUGGAUGACACAUGUCAUUUAUUUGAAAGGGGCAAUUGCUCCACUACAAGAUGGACCUGCGUUGUAUUAGCUAGUAGGUGAGGUAAUGGCUCACCUAGGCGACGAUACAUAGCCGACCUGAGAGGGUGAUCGGCCACACUGGGACUGAGACACGGCCCAGACUCCUACGGGAGGCAGCAGUAGGGAAUCUUCGGAAAUGGGGGCAACCCUGACCGAGCAACGCCGCGUGAGUGAAGAAGGUUUUCGGAUCGUAAAGCUCUGUUGUAAGUCAAGAACGGGUGUGAGAGUGGAAAGUUCACACUGUGACGGUAGCUUACCAGAAAGGGACGGCUAACUACGUG
rnacentral:rRNA from 1 species